rnacentral:lncRNA from 1 species
UGAGAUUUCUAGCAGUGCGUCUGCAGGAACUUGUUGAUUUUAAGUUUCUGUGGGGCAAUGUGAGAUGUGGCUGCUUGCCCUCUCUGCCCUCCCCUCACUUAAAUGGUGCUGAGAGGGGGGUGCCCCUUGUGCUCUCGGGACUCUGCUCCAGAGGAAGUGAGGGUGAAUCUCGUUCUACUUAGCAGCAGAAGAACCCUGAAAGACAGACAGUUAAACAGGUGGAACUGAGCUGUGUUGUACUUCAUGGGUUCAUGAGGAAAAACCAUGUUCUUUCUUCUUCUUCACAGGACUGCAUCUUCCAUGUUUAACUCCCGAUACUGUGUGAAGAACCUUUCAUUUGUGAUACAGUAUAAUAAAAUCUCCAGAGGUUUUCCUUCAUGUGCUGAAUCUAGUCUCUAGGAAGGCUGUGUACUUGCAUGGUCAGAUGUAAAUAAAUUAAAUUACUUCCUAAAACUCCAUUGCCAGGAUUUUCAGGAAAGAUUUCACUGAGGCUUUUUAGUCACAAGGAGUUAGAAAGAAGUUAACAUGUUGUCAGAAUUUGAAAGAAAACCAAUAGCAGACUGCCUGCCUUUUUUGUUAAAUACAAUAUUGUUUCAAGACCAUAUAGAUUAAAACUGGUGUUUCUUCUGCAUUGCAUUCUGAUUCCCUUGCUUAAUUUAAUUUUGAAAAUAUUGAACACUUAAAAUCAUUGUGACCUGUACCGUGGUAGUUUUUUCUCUGAAAAUAACAUGUUGCUGUGUUAGUGCCUGAAUGCUGUAAUCUCAUCAGAACGUUUGCACAAUAGGUCUGAAUCAUGCUGGAGUGGCAUCAAUGAAGUGCCUUUUUCUAGUUCAGUGAGAAACUUCUGCAGCUUGGAAUGGAACAGAGAUGCAAUAACUCUGGAAAAAAAAGCGUGGGAGGAUAAAAGCAAAAGACCAAGCCCUGUGAUGCAGCAUGAGGAGAAUCUGUCUAAGAACACUUGGAAAGGAAGGCUAAAUAGAGUUCAUUUGGCUCACAGAAGUGUCCUGAUGAGUGCCAAAAUCAGCGCAGGCCAGUCAGGAGUGCAUAGCUGGGAGCAAAGUUCUGGGAUAUAUAGGGAAUGUCACUUUCUCAGCAACCAUGAGCUGAGGCCAACUUACUUUAUCUUCUGGAACUCGGCCAUUGAGGACUCUGCUGAUGUCAGUGAUACCAUGAAGAACAGAGGUUUUAGAUGCAGCCAAGAAUACAACUCCAUUAUUGUUCAAAAGUUAUGCUUGGGUAUUACAUCGUAUCUUCUCUGCAAGACUUUCAUUAUGUGAUAAAUGCUAGGGCAUUUUAUUUCCCCCCUCCUUUAUGAUUUUACACAAAAUUCCUAUCACCUUAGAAACUAAAACAAACACUUUCUAAAAGGAAAGACUGGUCUAUUUCAGAUUUCUAGGUGGAUGUCAGUUUAUUUGUAACAGCACACUUCUAAUAAACUUUGCAGGAUUGUUCA